rnacentral:rRNA from 1 species
GGAAUCUUGCGCAAUGGGCGAAAGCCUGACGCAGCAACGCCGCGUGCGGGAUGAAGGCCUUCGGGCUGUAAACCGCUUUCAGCAGGAACGAAAAUGACGGUACCUGCAGAAGAAGGAGCGGCCAACUACGUGCCAGCAGCCGCGGUGACACGUAGGCUCCAAGCGUUGUCCGGAUUUAUUGGGCGUAAGAGCUCGUAGGCGGUUGAGUAAGUCGGGUGUGAAAACUCUGGGCUUAACCCGGAGACGCCAUCCGAUACUGCUCUGACUUGAGUUCAGGAGGGGAGUGGGGAAUUCCUAGUGUAGCGGUGAAAUGCGCAGAUAUUAGGAGGAACACCGGUGGCGAAGGCGCCACUCUGGACUGAAACUGACGCUGAGGAGCGAAAGCAUGGGUAGCAAACAGGAUUAGAUACCCUGGUAGUCCAUGCCGUAAACGGUGGGCACUAGGUGUGGGUUCCAACUAACGGGAUCCGCGCCGUCGCUAACGCAUUAAGUGCCCCGCCUGGGGAGUACGGUCGCAAGACUAAAACUCAAAGGAAUUGACGGA